ensembl:Y_RNA Y_RNA Y RNA
GACUGGUCCGAUUGUAGUGGGUACAAACGAUUCAUAAUGUUCAGUCAGUUACGUAGAGUCCACAUUUGUGACCCCAACCUGCUCACUACACAACUUGACUAGUCUUUU